rnacentral:rRNA from 1 species
CCUACGGGGGGCUGCAGUGGGGAAUAUUGGACAAUGGGGGCAACCCUGAUCCAGCCAUGCCGCGUGGGUGAAGAAGGCCCUCGGGUUGUAAAGCACUUUCAGUGAGGAAGAACGCCUGGUGGUUAAUACCCAUCAGGAAAGACAUCACUCACAGAAGAAGCACCGGCUAACUCCGUGCCAGCAGCCGCGGUAAUACGGAGGGUGCGAGCGUUAAUCGGAAUUACUGGGCGUAAAGCGCGCGUAGGUGGCUUGAUAAGCCGGUUGUGAAAGCCCCGGGCUCAACCUGGGAACGGCAUCCGGAACUGUCAAGCUAAAGUGCAGGAGAGGAAGGUAGAAUUCCCGGUGUAGCGGUGAAAUGCGUAGAGAUCGGGAGGAAUACCAGUGGCGAAGGCGGCCUUCUGGACUGACACUGACACUGAGGUGCGAAAGCGUGGGUAGCAAACAGGAUUAGAUACCCGGGUAGUC